rnacentral:lncRNA from 1 species
CUAAGGACCAUAAUUGUGGCCUUUCCAACCACUGCUGAUAGUAAUUCUAGCAGCCAGAGAGCAAUCAUAAACAAUGUUGAAACAAGAUUCCCAGAAAAAUUGCACUGUCUCAAAGAAGAAUUAUCACUGUCUCCAGGGAUAACCAACAGUGCGAUAGAUGGCUGAUGCUAGUCUGGCUUCUUGGUUUCUUAUGGAAGGUGAGAGCAGAUCUCCUCUCUUCCUGGAUUUGAACCUAUAAUAAAAAGCACUGUAUCUCCA